rnacentral:rRNA from 1 species
CCUACGGGUGGCUGCAGUGGGGAAUAUUGCACAAUGGGCGCAAGCCUGAUGCAGCCAUGCCGCGUGUGUGAAGAAGGCCUUCGGGUUGUAAAGCACUUUCAGCGGGGAGGAAGGCGUUAAGGUUAAUAACCUUGUCGAUUGACGUUACCCGCAGAAGAAGCGCCGGCUAACUCCGUGCCAGCAGCCGCGGUAGUACGGAGGGUGCAAGCGUUAAUCGGAAUUACUGGGCGUAAAGCGCACGCAGGCGGUCUGUCAAGUCGGAUGUGAAAUCCCCGGGCUCAACCUGGGAACUGCAUUCGAAACUGGCAGGCUAGAGUCUUGUAGAGGGGGGUAGAAUUCCAGGUGUAGCGGUGAAAUGCGUAGAGAUCUGGAGGAAUACCGGUGGCGAAGGCGGCCCCCUGGACAAAGACUGACGCUCAGGUGCGAAAGCGUGGGGAGCAAACAGGAUUAGAUACCCCAGUAGUC